rnacentral:lncRNA from 1 species
AAAAUUAGUAAAGUCUAAGCCCUAUACAUGCCAUAUUCAAAAAUAUAAAUCAAACUAUACCGAAAACUUUGAUUGAUAGUGUGAUCGAUAUCUCUGACUUCCUUUGGUCCUUGAGCUAGAUAGGCGGCACUAUAAGAAAAUGAAAAAAGAGAAGGAGUAAGCAUAAAGCUUAGUAAGUUGCACAUAAAUAAGUAUACAACAUAACUUUAUCAUCCAUCAACAAGCAUCAUAAUACACAAGUGGCAUAAGCAAAACUUACUCAUCAAUAUUCAAUACACCUCAUAUAGCAUAUAUUGAGCUCACAUUUCAUACAUAUCAUAUAGGUGCCUGUACCACUCACAACACGGUUAUACUUUCCUUGGUAACUUGAAAUCAUACUUUCACCAUUGAACCAUUUGGGACAUUAUCGGAUACUCAUUUAGCCUCAAACAUGGGUGCAGGUGCCGAUGCCAUGUCCCAGACAUGGUCUUACACUGACACAUCUCGUAGCUGAUGCAUGUCCCAGACAUGUCUUACACUAGCACUCGUCUUAAUACCGAUGCCAUAUCCCAGACAUGGUCUUACAUUGGCUCCCAUAAUGUGGCCGAUGCAUGUCCCAGACAUGUCUUACACUAGCUCACACAAGUGACCCAAACAUCAUGGCAUGAGUAUCCGAUUUAUUUCCUAAGGUUCAUUUGAGAAUUCUACUAUCUCUAUUCUCAUCAUAUUCUCUUAUUUCCAUAAUCAAAAAAUUCAUACUACAAUAAUUUAAAUGCAAUUCGAAUGUAUAUAUUAUCAAUACAGUUGUAUUAUUUACAUACAACUUACCUCGGAUUACAAAAUGUGGCGACUAGUCAAUUUAGUCGCUUUGCUUGGCUUUCCCUCGGUCUAGGUUCAGAUUCGGUAUUUCUUGAUCUAUAAUAAAAAAAUGUAAUUAUUUAGUGACUUUAUCAAUCUAGGCACUCUACAAUUCAUAAUUGGGUAAAAUGACCAAUUCGCCCCUAGACUUUUGCAAAAUGACCAUUUUACCCCUAAGCCCAAAAAUCAAUUUUUAUCGAAUUUCUUCACAUCUUAAGCGUAGAUGAACCCUUUUUAAUCUUAUAGCAACUUCAAAUUUCCACUAUUUCACAUACUUAACAUCUAUUUUAUAACUUAUGCAAUAUAGUCCUUUUAGGUGUUUUCAUGCUAGCACCUUUCACAAAAAUUGUUCAUAAUACACCCAAGACUUAUUUUCUUCCAUAAAAACUCAGAAAAAAUUACAAAUCCUUUCAUGGCAAAACCCUACGCUCUUAAUCAUUUUGCAAAAUAGUACCCUCAUUUGAAAGCUCAUACUUCAAGGGUCUCAAAAGUACAAAAAUAUUCAACAAAGGGUUGGAAAAUCACUUACUUGUGAAGGCUUAAAGUUGCUGAAAUUUUUAAG